CAGCAGCCGCGGUAAUACGUAGGUGGCAAGCGUUGUCCGGAUUUAUUGGGCGUAAAGCGAGCGCAGGCGGUUUCUUAAGUCUGAUGUGAAAGCCCCCGGCUCAACCGGGGAGGGUCAUUGGAAACUGGGAAACUUGAGUGCAGAAGAGGAGAGUGGAAUUCCAUGUGUAGCGGUGAAAUGCGUAGAUAUAUGGAGGAACACCAGUGGCGAAGGCGGCUCUCUGGUCUGUAACUGACGCUGAGGCUCGAAAGCGUGGGGAGCAAACAGGAUUAGAUACCCCUGUAGUCCCUGUCUCUUAUAC
rnacentral:rRNA from 1 species